rnacentral:lncRNA from 1 species
GAUAAUCAUUGUAUGAGAAUGCAUGCUGAAUCUUCAUCUCCCAGUCAACGUAGGCGUCUGGGUCACUCCUGCCUUUAAAAGAUGAUACAUUGAGUUUUACUCCCUCACUUCUGUCUUGCCGCUUUAUUCGGUUCGAUCCAUCAUUGACCCUUCUGUUGCCACUAUAAGGUCUCCCAACAUUUGGAUUCAUUUGGUGCUCUAGUCCUUCUAUUCGCCUGUAGAACUCUUCAUUGUUAGGUUUCAACAAACGUUGCAUUUGUCUAGUCAUCGCGUCCAGUAAUAAGCACUGAAAUCCGUCCAGUUGAUGAUAUACACCACCAUUGUCACCAGCUCCUGCCAUGAUUAAGGAACAAAGAAUUUUUGCAGUAAUUUAAAAAAAAAGAUUCAAGACCUCACCACACUCUACUCACG